GAAAAGGAAUAUAGUUCUAUAGAGCACUUAGAAUAGAGAAGAUUAGUUUGAAAUUCUAAAAUAGAACCUAAAUAAAAUAAUAAAAAAUACAAAAUAAAAUAAACUAUAGUUCCAAUAAAUAUAAAAAUUAAUCAGAAGCCUCCUUAAUUAUUAUAAAAUCAUGGAACUAAAAUGUAAAUAUCAUAAUAAUUUGUAUAAUAUUUAGAAUUAAAAUAGUCAAGCCCUUCGAACCACUGCCAUUUGGCCAACAAUCGCCUGCAUUUCGAUUUGUUUUAUUUGUUUGAUUUGCGUUUGCAGAUUGCCUGCCAAUUUUCGGCUGGGAACUGUUUUGUUUCUGGGCUCUACGGGUUCUGGCCACUGGGUUCUAUGUGGUUCUGGGCUGGCUGGCUGCAGUUUGGCGCUUUGGGCAGCCUAUAGAAUAUAGAAUCGCUCGCAACAUGUUCGGAGUCGAACGCGGAACAGUGGGUCGAGUGGUGAUGUUGCUUAUGAUGAUGGUGGUGGUGGAUGGCUGGUAUGGCUGGCUCGAUGCCUUUCGGGCCAAAAGCCGAAGCAAAAGGUUUCGGCCGGCUGGCUGGUUGGUGGCUUAUCGCGGCACGCUGUCUUUACAUUUGGUUUUUUUUUUUUGCCCCCAAAAAACAGUUGCACAUCAGACGUCUAUCGAGGGAGUCGAGCAGCGAGCAGCGGACGACGAAAUCAGAGCAACCAUUUAAAUAGAAACACCGAAGGCACCAUCAUCAGCAGAGCAACACCGCCAUUGCAGCGAUUAAGCAGCGGCUAACUCCAAAAAGCCAAAGCAGUUAGCCAGCCAUAAUAUCUCAUACCGGAAGAAAUUCUCAACAAAUCCCUCAUCCAAGCACGUGUCGUUUCUUUAAAAAUUCUUCUCAAAUUCUAAAAACAUUUUUCGAUGUUUUUUUUUGUAACAUUUUUUCCAAGUGUUUUUAAGACGUGUGUGUUUGUGCUUUUUUUCCCCUCAAGUGCCAAUAGUGUUUUCAAAAAAUUUAAAUAAAUAAAAUAUAUAUAGUUUUUUGAAAAAAUACUUCAAGUUAGAAACAAAGGGCACACAGUUUGGAAGUGAAAUAAAACAAAAAACAACAACAAAAAUAAUUCCAAAGAAAUAAUUUCAAAGAAACAAAAGUCAAGGCUACAAAAAAAAAAAAAAUACAAAAAAAAAGCAAUUAAAAUAAAUUGUUGCCGUAAGUCAGGUCGGUAGGCUUACAACAACAAUAACAGUAACAAAAAAAAACAAAUAACCACCGAAGGAGCACCACCACAUCCAACAGGACAUCCAACAGGACCUUCCGCCCUCCAUACACCCCGCCCGCCCCUCUUAAGGAGCAAGGACCCACCGGCGCACAAAAAGGUAACCAGGAAUUAUUUAAUUAAUAUUUCAUAAAAAACAAUCAAAAUGAAAACCCGCCAACUGGAAGAGAAUCUUGCCAAGAGACCGACCUCCCAUUGCAUACUUGUUGAAAAUGACUACCCCCCCUAUUUAUUUUUUUUUAGAAAUUAUUUACGAGAUGACCUCUUGAAAUCGCAUAUUAUUUCGCAGUCGAUUGCAUUUAAUUCCAUUUGCGGUUGAGCACAAAAAUUAUGAAAUGAAAUGUAUA